GGUUUAGCACCCCCUCCUCCUCCCUAUUCUACAGUUGCAUUAGCGGCCCUCAACCAUGGACAUCCUAAAAGGAGAGGAAAUACAUUCUUAUUUGAAUGCAUUUGAAUCACAAGGAAGAUAAGUGAAUAUUCUUCACCUCUUGUAACUAUUUUGCAGUCUUGAAUUAAGCCCACUAGCUCUUCUCGACUUUGGUUUGUCAUGUUGAUGACAUAUGGAAAUGGCCUA
rnacentral:lncRNA from 1 species